AGAGAAUGAAAGACCGAGAGUGAGAAAGAAAGAGAGAGAAAGAAGCAGAGUGAAAGGAGAGAGAGAGGAGCCGCGGAACAGGUAGAUACGCACCGCGGAAUAUAUUGGAAUACCUGAGAAAUUUAGUGGCGGGGCACUAAAUUUCACCGCCGUGACUUUGCAGGAGGCGAUGCUCGCCGCAGGGCGGGAGCCACCGGGCGAAAAAUCGCCCCCCUGCCUCCCUCCCUCUUCUCACUGUCCCCCCCUGUUUCUCCCCGCCUUCUGCCUUCCGCCCCUGUGGCUACGUGCCCCGCCGGAGAUAUCGCCCCUUUAGCACCUGCGGCGACGCUGCUCUCGAUGAGCGAGAGCCGCAUAUUGUGCCCCCGUGAAAGCGAAGGAAAUAUUAAUUAUCUCGAUGCGAAGUAAACUCGAGUAUCGUUCAUCGUCUAAGCUCCGUUUCCAAUAUAUCUAAUUCGUUCUACGGUACCAUCCGUAGAUGAUUUGUAGAUUUCAUAGGACACUCUGUGUUUUAUUUAAAAAUGAUUAUGUGUAUACACAAUCACGAAACUAAUUGUCCAGAUACAGGACACGAAAGUUACAUAUUUAUCAAACGUUAUAACUUUUUUUUUUUAAAGGAAAACUCGAUUGAAAGUGAAAAUCCUUACCACUUAUGCAUUUCCGUCAAAGUAUGCUUUUGAUUUGCUGCAUGAAACAAACUCCCAAUAUCCUUCGUAUCCAACAAUUAGUUUGGUGAUUGUCUGUAGUUUAAUUUAAUUAAAUGCAUACAUUGCGACAAAAUCAAUUGAGAACAAGAUUAAAAUCUGAAAUUUUCAACAGCAUAGAACGACGCAGGGUACACUUGUGGAUGACGUUUCUGUUAGUUGAAAUAGUAUUGGGAUCUUGCACACAUCCCCACGCGAAUAUCAAACCGUUGUAAUUCCGUCGUUUGUAGUCGCUUCAGAAUCAGGAGGGAUUCGACAUUACCUCCCCCCCCUCCCCCGAUGCUGCAAUCGCGGCGCGUCUUUGCCACACAUGGUAACGUAUACGUCUUCGGCAUCUAUGGUGUGCCGUUAAUCGGAAAAGUAAUCAUAAUCAGGCGGGUUGUGCAUAGCUCGUUGCAUCGGCGGCGGCGCUGCGCUCAUCAGCGAAGCGCAGCGAACGAGUAGCAUGCGCAUUCCAUCGCGCGCCCGUAAUUUAGCUCUGGCGAAAAUAUCAUUUCUCUACUCUGCGCCCUUCACCACCUCCUCCUCCACCACCGCCUACCCGUGCUCGUCGUGCUUCCCUUGUCGUUCUUAGCCUCGUAACGAAAGAAAGAAACGGCACGAAUGAGAAAAAUGAGAAAUACCCCGUCAGUUCCUUCGUUCGUUCGUUCUGGCGAACGUUUCCACCCUUCCGCUCCGUUCCGCGCGCGCGAAAAAAAAAAAACGACGGGAAGGGAAAAAAAGCGAGGAAAGUAAUCAACGGGAGGCCGAACGACAGCCGCGUUUGCGACUCGGAAACGACGUCGGCACGGGGGCGAAUUUUCAUGAAAGCGCUUUCGCUCCGUGCGAAAUGAGAGCGCGGCGCAGAAACAGACGAAGAGGAAGGGGGGAAAGAGGGUGGACGCAGCCGGCCAGCAGCGAAGCUAUAUAGCGAAUGAAGGGCGGAUAGGGUUGGGUGGAUGGGUGGUAACGCGGGCGCGCUUGCACUCGAUUACGCAUUCGAUAGACGUUGAUUAUCGACAAAACACGUCGAUUCGACAACACCUGACGAUGACGAGCGCACGCGUGCACACGCUGCGCGUACGCGUAGGAGGAUGCGUGUUGGUGCACGGCGGAGGGAAUUUGCGACGGACAUGAAGUCACGCAGAAUCGCGGGGGAAGGGAUCCGAUAUACAGUACUAUGCAUAAGUUACCCCAGCGAGCUCGAUCAGCGAUGAGAGACAAGAAUAAACACAAGAAAGAAUACACAAUUGAAAAGUUUGUAUUAAACAUUGAAAUUUUUGUGUCAAUUUAACACGAGACAAAUAAAAAGUUAGAAACUAAAACAAACACUAUAAAAAAUUAGUUUAAAAAACGUAAAAAUUGACACAAUGUAGGAACAAAUUGUGGAAGAACGUUUUUUUAAAAAAAUUAACAUUUUUAAUAUGCCGACACGUACGUUUUAUACAGAAUUUAUUCCAGAUUUUAUGUUUGAAAACUACGUUAUUUUUAUGUUGUUUAUUUAUUAUAAAUUUAUUUUAAUAAACUUAAGAGAAUAUUAAUUUAACGCAAAAUAUUCAAACGACACAAUCACGUUAUUUCAAAUUAAUUCUCGGAUAAAAAUUCAAUAUAAAAACUUGAAAAAGAACUGGUUUUAAUAUAAAUAUAAAAUGUUUUCUGCUGUGAUAAUAGAGAAAUUUUCUAUCUAAAAUCGCGACUUUGAGACUUAAUGUAGAAAGCGACUAACGAGAUACGUGGUUAAUUAUCACGAAAAAAACGGAAGAUUAUUAUACUACUCUCAGAUACAUCAAACUUGUUUUUUGGUGAAACGUAAAAAAAAUGGGAAAUCCAAUAUUUCUUUAUCGCCCUAGCAGAAAUCAUGAUUCAAUUACGAAGCGUGGACAAGUUGCGUUAAUGCAUAAGGCAGACAUAAAAAAAUUAUGCGGCCGGACGUACGGGACUUUUUGAUGCGGUAGGGAUUGAACUGGUAGGCGCGUCACGAAAUAAAAGUUGGACGAAGGUAGAUAAAAGUCAAAGUAUUUCAGUAUCAUUACCGAAAAGGGCGGCGUCGGCAAGCCGGCCGGGAAUUUAUGAAGGCCGGCGUGUACGGGCGCGCGUGUACCUGUCCGCGCGUAAAACGAUGUAUUCACAACGUCGCCGCGUGUUGUAAUCCGUAUAGAAGAAGGCUUGGUUGGCCCGUUACGACGAGAUUAUCGUUCGACAGGAACUGUAACUUUCAAUGAAUCGUAAACGUAGUCGGCCGCGCGCGACCGAGUACCGGCGCACGAUUUUGUUCAGAGUGCGUCCGACACGAUGACGAAGGCGGCGGAAUCAAACGUUGAGUUACCGAUAGUAAUAAUCUCUUAUCAUUCUCGUUAUUUUGGGCCGAAUCGCUACCACGAGCGGCGGGAUAUCUUCGCCGCGAGUAUUGUGUUCGGAAGCAGGCAGAAUUGAGAAAUAUCGUGUGCAUAAACCAACAUCAGCUCUCUGCAUUUCUUCUUAUUUCCCGUAACUGUAUUUUUUAUGAUCUCUUAUUUUUUCUAAUUAGAUAUAUCUUAGAGCAGACUGCUGUCGCCUCGUGAUUUUUUUAUGUGUUCUGCCAAUAAAAACAACUUAAUAUCAUCACAUUUUCGACUAAAAAAAAAUUAAGCGACAUAUAAUUCUUCGUAUUUCAAAGUAGCUUUAUUAAAGUAGCUCUAUCAUAGCUCUCAUUUAAUAUCUGUCAAAAGUUAAUAUAUUUUCUCACCGAAAGAGUCAAUCGAGGGAGAAAAAGCUUCAUUAACGAACUCGUACACGUUAUUUAUGAUUUAUAUUUAAAAGGAAUCGUCGAACGGUUUUCUCUCGGCGAUUCUUCGAGAGCGUUGCCGCGACGGACGGAGUAGCCGAGAACGACGAUGUUAUUCAAAUACGGGAGAUUACGCGAUCUUCAAUCCAGGUGCGCGACGUGGUACCUACCUACCUACCUAUCUAUCUACUCGAUGCGCGCUCGCACGUGAAAGAGAGAGCGAGAGAGAGAGAGAGAGAGAGAGACGAUCGUAACGGAAUAUAAAAGCCGCGUGUAUUUGUUACUGUACGAUCCACGGGCGCCGAUCGCCGAUAAGACACGUCAAUACGGCGAUCAGGGAGACUGCUCGUGAGGGAGAGCCGGAGGUGGGCGUUCGUGCGUGGGCGUUCAUGCGUGCAGCCGCCAGUCAACGGAUGAAGUCGACACUGAGAGGGAUAAAACCGUGUGCGAGGGCAGAUACGCCACUUCAUUUCGCGUGUACACGGAAUUCACGCUAAACUUCGACCAAAGGUCGAAAAUACGGCGGGAUCGACGUUCAAGCUAAGGGACCGCCGUCGAUUCGUUUUUCGUAUAUAAUUCUUUCAGGGACCUCCUCGAUCUCGGAAUGGACAUUAAUCUCCCCGUCGACGGAAGCUUCGGGAAACCCUUUCUCCGACCUUGACACGGCGUCUAUAAAUAAAAUCUAUCGCCGUUAAUUAAUUCGCAAUACAAUCGCAUGGGAUGAUCGGUAGAGCCGCUCGGCCUUGAUCUGGCGGAUCGAGAGAAAGAAGAGAAGAAAGGAGGGAAGAGUAGAAAGAAAUCUCGCAUAUCUACAGUUUAACGAAUUCACUAUGUCGUUAAUGCUCUGGAAACAAUGAGACUAUCGGAAGAAAUUAAACUAUGCGUAUAAUGUAAAAGAUUAGAUGCGUACAUUUGUAAUAUUAAUAGCACAUAUGCCGCUUACGAUAAAAAAACAUGAGGGUUUCUUUACAAAAUGGAGCAUUGAUUCGUCUCAAAGUGAAACGAAGAGUCAUGGGAAACCGGCGUUGAUCUACUCGUGCACAUCUUGAGAUGAGUUAGUUACCGCCAGAUCCAUUACAAACUAGACUACUCAUUCUCCGUUAAUUAAUAGAACCAAAUUCGAUGGUAUCGACUUUUUCUAGAAUAAAUACCUAAAUUCCUUUAAAAAA